rnacentral:rRNA from 1 species
CGCCUCCCUCCGCCGCCACUCAGACUACCGUACGGGAGGCGAGCGAGGUAGGGAAGUAGUUGCGCAAGUGGAACGAAAGUCUGACGCAGCGACGCCGCGUGUGGGAUGAAGCCUUCGGGUGUAACCACUGUUGCCGGGACGAACUCUCCUUUCGAGGAGAUUGACGGUACCGGGUGAGGAAGCACCGGCUAACUCUGUGCCAGCAGCCGCGGUAAUAC